UACGGAGGAUCCAAGCGUUAUCCGGAUUUAUUGGGUUAAAGGGUGCGUAGGCGGCUUAUUAAGUCAGGGGUGAAAGACGGUGGCUCAACCAUCGCAGUGCCCUUGAUACUGAUGAGCUUGAAUACACUUGAGGUAGGCGGAAUGUGACAAGUAGCGGUGAAAUGCAUAGAUAUGUCACAGAACACCAAUUGCGAAGGCAGCUUACUAAGGUGCAAUUGACGCUGAGGCACGAAAGCGUGGGGAUCAAACAGG
rnacentral:rRNA from 1 species